GAAUAUUGGACAAUGGGGGCAACCCUGAUCCAGCCAUGCCGCGUGUGUGAAGAAGGCUUUCGGGUUGUAAAGCACUUUCAGCGAGGAGGAAAACCUUACGGUUAAUAACCGUGAGGCCUGACGUUACUCGCCGCAGAAGCCCCGGCUAACUCCCGUCCAGCAGCCGCGGUAAAACGGAGGGUGCAAGCGUUAAUCGGAAUUACUGGGCGUAAAGCGCGCGUAGGCGGUUUGAUAAGCGGGAUGUGAAAGCCCCGGGCUUAACCUGGGAACGGCAUUCCGAACUGUCAGGCUAGAGUAUGGUAGAGGGUAGUGGAAUUUCCUGUGUAGCGGUGAAAUGCGUAGAUAUAGGAAGGAACACCAGUGGCGAAGGCGGCUACCUGGACCAAUACUGACGCUGAGGUGCGAAAGCGUGGGGAGCAAACAGG
rnacentral:rRNA from 1 species